CCAGCCAUCCCGCGUGCAGGAAGAAGGCGCUAUGCGUCGUAAACUGCUUUUCCAGGGGAAGAAAACCUGAUACGUGUAUCGGCUUGCCGGUACCCUGGGAAUAAGCAUCGGCUAACUCCGUGCCAGCAGCCGCGGUAAUACGGAGGAUGCGAGCGUUAUCCGGAUUUAUUGGGUUUAAAGGGUGCGUAGGCGGAUUAAUAAGUCAGUGGUGAAAACCUUCAGCUUAACUGGAGACUUGCCAUUGAUACUGUUAGUCUUGAGUACGGUCAAGGUAGGCGGAAUGUGUAAUGUAGCGGUGAAAUGCUUAGAUAUUACACAGAACACCGAUUGCGAAGGCAGCCUACUGGGCCAUUACUGACGCUGAUGCACGAAAGCGUGGGGAGCGAACAGGAUUAGAUACCCUGGUAGUCCACGCCGUAAACGAUGAUCACUCGCUGUUAGCGAUACACAGUUAGCGGCUAAGCAAAAGCAUUAAGUGAUCCACCUGGGGAGUACGGCCGCAAGGCUGAAACUCAAAGGAAUUGACGG
rnacentral:rRNA from 1 species